rnacentral:rRNA from 1 species
GUGCCAGCAGCCGCGGUAACACGUAGGACACGAACGUUAAUCGGAAUUACUGGGCGUAAAGCGUGCGUAGGCGGUUUGAUAAGCCAGAUGUGAAAUCCCGGGGCUCAACCUCGGAACUGCAUUUGGAACUGUUUGACUAGAGUACUGUAGGGGGUGGUGGAAUUUCCAGUGUAGCGGUGAAAUGCGUAGAGAUUGGAAGGAACAUCAGUGGCGAAGGCGGCCACCUGGACAGAUACUGACGCUGAGGCACGAAAGCGUGGGGAGCGAACAGGAUUAGAUACCCCGGUAGUCCG